UCUUCCUACAAAGGCAUGUCUAUGGUUCCCUGUCCUUAGACACGUAAGAAUUGGAGGCAAAUAAAUGUAGAUUUGGAGAAGUUUGGGGCCAGCUUGCUCCUCACAGACUCCAGCGCCCCCAUCCCACACUG
rnacentral:snoRNA from 1 species